CUACACAUGCAAGUCGAGCGGAACGACACUAACGAUCGCUUCGGGUGCGUUAAUGGGCGUCGAGCGGCGGACGGGUGAGUAAUGCCUAGGAAAUUGCCUUGAUGUGGGGGAUAACCAUUGGAAACGAUGGCUAAUACCGCAUAAUGCCUACGGGCCAAAGAGGGGGAUCUUCGGACCUCUCGCGUCAAGAUAUGCCUAGGUGGGAUUAGCUAGUUGGUGAGGUAAUGGCUCACCAAGGCGACGAUCCCUAGCUGGUCUGAGAGGAUGAUCAGCCACACUGGAACUGAGACACGGUCCAGACUCCUACGGGAGGCAGCA
rnacentral:rRNA from 1 species